CAUGCUUAACACAUGCAAGUCGAACGGUAACAGGCCUAGCUUGCUAGGUGCUGACGAGUGGCGGACGGGUGAGAAACGCGUAAGAAUCUGCCCUAUAGCGGGGGACAACCUUGGGAAACUAAGGCUAAUACCGCAUAAGCCCGAGAGGGGAAAGGCUUCGGCCACUAUAGGAUGAGCUUGCGUCAGAUUAGCUAGUUGGGGGGGUAAAGGCCUACCAAGGCGAAGAUCUGUAGCUGUUCUGAGAGGAAGAUCAGCCACCCUGGGACGGAGACACGGCCCAGAAUCCUACGGGGGGGAGCAGUGGGGAAUAUUGGACAAUGGGCGAAAGCCUGAUCCAGGAAUGCCGCGGGAGGGACGGAGGCCUUAGGGUUGGAAAGCUCUUUUACCCGGGAUGAUAAUGACAGUACCGGGAGAAUAAGCUCCGGCUAACUCCGUGCCAGCAGCCGCCGUAA
rnacentral:rRNA from 1 species